UAAAUACUAAUACCAGAUCGAUAGUGCACAAGUACCGUGAGGGAAAGGUGAAAAGAACUGAGGUGAUCAGAGUGAAAUAGAACCUGAAACCAUUUGCUUACAAUCAUUCAGAGCCCUAUGUAGCAAUACAGGGUGAUGGACUGCCUUUUGCAUAAUGAGCCUGCGAGUUGUGGUGUCUGGCAAGGUUAAGCAAACGCGAAGCCGUAGCGAAAGCGAGUCUGAAUAGGGCGCUUAGUCAGAUGCUGCAGACCCGAAACGAAGUGAUCUAUCCAUGAGCAAGUUGAAGCUAGUGUAAGAACUAGUGGAGGACUGAACCCAUAGGCGUUGAAAAGCCCCGGGAUGACUUGUGGAUAGGGGUGAAAGGCCAAUCAAACUUCGUGAUAGCUGGUUCUCUCCGAAAUAUAUUUAGGUAUAGCGUUGUGUCGUAAUAUAAGGGGGUAGAGCACUGAAUGGGCUAGGGCAUACACCAAUGUACCAAACCCUAUCAAACUCCGAAUACCUUAUAUGUAAUCACAGCAGUCAGGCGGCGAGUGAUAAAAUCCGUCGUCAAGAGGGAAACAACCCAGACUACCAGCUAAGGUCCCUAAAUCUUACUUAAGUGGAAAACGAUGUGAAGUUACUUAAACAACCAGGAGGUUGGCUUAGAAGCAGCCAUCCUUUAAAGAAAGCGUAAUAGCUCACUGGUCUAGUGAUUUUGCGCGGAAAAUAUAACGGGGCUAAAGUAAGUACCGAAGCUGUAGACUUGCGCACAACUUAGAUUAUUUAAGUUUAGAAUAUGAGAAACUAAGUUAUAUGUUUAGUUAUAUUUUUACUGAUUUUUAUAGAGUAAAGAUAGAAAUAAAACUUAGUAAAAUCAGUAAAAAUAUUCUUAGACUAAAGUUAAGUAGUUUAAGUUGUGUGCAAGUGGUAGGAGAGCGUUCUAUUUGCGUCGAAGGUAUACCGGUAAGGAGUGCUGGAGCGAAUAGAAGUGAGCAUGCAGGCAUGAGUAGCGAUAAUUAAUGUGAGAAUCAUUAACGCCGUAAACCCAAGGUUUCCUACGCGAUGCUCGUCAUCGUAGGGUUAGUCGGGUCCUAAGCCGAGUCCGAAAGGGGUAGGCGAUGGCAAAUUGGUUAAUAUUCCAAUACCAACAUUAGUGUGCGAUGGAAGGACGCUUAGGGCUAAGGGGGCUAGCGGAUGGAAGUGCUAGUCUAAGGUCGUAGGAGGUUAUACAGGCAAAUCCGUAUAACAAUACUCCGAGAACUGAAAGGCUUUUUGAAGUCUUCGGAUGGAUAGAAGAACCCCUGAUGCCGUCGAGCCAAGAAAAGUUUCUAAGUUUAGCUAAUGUUGCCCGUACCGUAAACCGACACAGGUGGGUGGGAUGAGUAUUCUAAGGCGCGUGGAAGAACUCUCUUUAAGGAACUCUGCAAAAUAGCACCGUAUCUUCGGUAUAAGGUGUGGUUCGCUUCGUACUAGGAUUUACUCCGAAAGCGAAGAAACUUACAACAAAGAGUCCCUCCCGACUGUUUACCAAAAACACAGCACUCUGCUAACUCGUAAGAGGAUGUAUAGGGUGUGACGCCUGCCCGGUGCUCGAAGGUUAAUUGAUGGGGUUAGCAUUAGCGAAGCUCUUGAUCGAAGCCCGAGUAAACGGCGGCCGUAACUAUAACGGUCCUAAGGUAGCGAAAUUCCUUGUCGGUUAAAUACCGACCUGCAUGAAUGGCGUAACGAGAUGGGAGCUGUCUCAAAGAGGGAUCCAGUGAAAUUGUAGUGGAGGUGAAAAUUCCUCCUACCCGCGGCAAGACGGAAAGACCCCGUGGACCUUUACUACAGCUUGACACUGCUACUUGGAUAAGAAUGUGCAGGAUAGGUGGGAGGCUUUGAGUAUAUGACGCCAGUUGUAUAUGAGCCAUUGUUGAGAUACCACUCUUUCUUAUUUGGGUAGCUAACCAGCUUGAGUUAUCCUCAAGUGGGACAAUGUCUGGUGGGUAGUUUGACUGGGGCGGUCGCCUCCCAAAUAAUAACGGAGGCUUACAAAGGUUGGCUCAGAACGGUUGGAAAUCGUUCGUAGAGUAUAAAGGUAUAAGCCAGCUUAACUGCAAGACAUACAAGUCAAGCAGAGACGAAAGUCGGUCUUAGUGAUCCGGUGGUUCUGUGUGGAAGGGCCAUCGCUCAAAGGAUAAAAGGUACCCCGGGGAUAACAGGCUGAUCUCCCCCAAGAGCUCACAUCGACGGGGAGGUUUGGCACCUCGAUGU
rnacentral:rRNA from 1 species